CUACGGGUGGCAGCAGUGAGGAAUAUUGGUCAAUGGGCGCAAGCCUGAACCAGCCACUCCGCGUGUAGGAUGACUGCCCUAUGGGUUGUAAACUACUUUUAUACAGGAAGAAACCUCCAUACGUGUAUGGAGCUGACUGUACUGUAAGAAUAAGCAUCGGCUAACUCCGUGCCAGCAGCCGCGGUAAUACGGAGGAUGCAAGCGUUAUCCGGAUUUAUUAGGUCUAAAGGGUGCGUAGGCGGAUAUUUAAGUCAGUGGUGAAAUCCUACAGCUUAACUGUAGAACUGCCAUUGAUACUGGAUAUCUUGAGUUUAGUUGAGGUAAGCGGAAUGUGUAGUGUAGCGGUGAAAUGCUUAGGUAUUACACAGAACACCGAUUGCGAAGGCAGCUUACUAAGCUAACACUGACGCUGAGGCACGAAAGCGUGGGGAGCGAACAGGAUUAGAUACCCCUGUAGUC
rnacentral:rRNA from 1 species